AAUGAACAGUAGGGCAGAUAUAUAAUUCCCUCCCUCCUACACGUCGGGUUCAAUCUGCUAAGGAACGUUGGACGGUCUGUGCUAUCUCCCUCAUCUCGUCGUACUCGUGGGGUUUAAGGGUUAAGGUAAGGGUGGGUGAUGACGCCGACACCAACGGUCAUUAGGUUGAUCAGUAGAACCGGCGGCGCCGACUCGUCGUCGUUCCAACGGCACUGUUCACGCCGGUGUAGUCGUAGGGGAAGGGAAAGCCGUAGCCGGCGCCGACGAAGGCGGUACCGAAGCUCCAGCACACGUUGCUGAGGAGCAUAGGGGGAGCGCGGAAGGAACGACCGUUUUCUUAUAGGUCCAACAGCAGCAGGGGUGACCUAGGGCUCUUGCCCUCGCUAACCAGGAAGAGCAGCUAGCUCGAACACUCGUAUAGUCAGCGGUGCCCGUUCCGUGCCCACAUGCGGGGCCAGAGCAUGGAGACGUCGUGUUUAGAGUUGUCCUGGAAGAGGCGCUAGAUGUUAUAAGUGAACCGGGUGUGCGGCAAGCGGCACAGCCGCUGCGCGUUAUAAGAGCAGCCGCAGCCGACCUCUCAGCUACGAAAGCACUGAAAGUAGCUGAAAGGCGACUCCACCGGCAUAUGCCAGUACAAGCGGACGUCACGAGCACGUGCGUUAGAGGACGGUUCACACUGGGGUUGUUUGCCCAGCACGUGCCCCUCCCCGACGACGGUGUGGUGGUAGGGUGGCCUGUUGUUGGAGCCGUUGAACAAUUCGAAAAGACAGUUCCCGCUCCAGGGGUUGCUCGCCACCCUUCUGAUGGGCACGAGGAUGCGGUACGACCACCUGUUCAGUACCAUGUUGAAGAGAUGCGGUCUGUACCUCCCGUUGUCCUGCGAUGAGUUUUCCAAGGGGGCCCCGCAGGUGUAGCGCGAGCUAAAGCGGCGGCCCUUGUGAAGCACAGGCCGGUUCCCUGUCGGUGGGGGAGGCCUGAUGCGGACGUAGUCGCCGUUGUCGAGAACGCGGUUGAGUUGUGUAUGAGGACCGAUAUAGACGUUCACGACCCUGGUAAUGCGACCGUUGGGAAUGUAGUGAGUGCCUACGGUUCUAUAACUACUUACGUUCGAGGGCGUACACAUAGGGACGAGUUUACCGCCCUAGACGUUUUUGUCCGAGCCUCCGAUACUGACAGGUACGUUCAAGCCCUACUUUCCGCUGCCGUUUCGCCCUUGGACGAGUCUAUAUAAGUGAGGUCGCCGGUUCCGCCGACACCCAUUCAUGAUUCGAUGAUGACGUGAGGUGACAUACACGCACAUGUACGUACAUUGAUACAUACGUAGUCAUGUGUCGUGGGGCCCACUCUUAGAAAAGAUAAUCUUAGUUUUGGGAAGCCCACACGGUGUAGUGGUUUUUGCAACUAGACUUCAGGUUUGAUAUUUGGUUUUAAACACAGUGGAUCUAGUAAGUGGAAGUCAAUACCAAAAGUUGUUCCUCGAACUAAGGUAUACGUUUAUCUUUGUACAUAACCUAUCCACGUGACGCACAUGUAGUGAACUACCUAUGACGAAUUAAAGAUGUUUAUUGGACUGACGUUACAUACUCGAUGAGGACGGAACGGUUUAAUAUCUCGUGUAUUAAAAAAGAGGUUGUAGCUUGAAACAUUUAAAAGUGGUUCAAAUAUCUGUUUUUAAGGUUUUUUUUUUUUGUAAAUGUUAUGGUUUAUAUAUAAUAUACUUUUAUAUUAAACACUACUUAGGCAUAAUUAUGUCGUAUAUCUACAACUAUAAAAAAGACAUUCGAAGCAGUUUUAAAUGUUUUAGAAUGUCAAAUAUACGUGACAUUAAAGCGUUUCUGCCUCAUGUACGAAGGUAGUAGAAGACGUGUGAAGGGAGGCUCAAAGUUGGGGAAGGUAAGAACUAAAUCUAGGUAAAAAGAAGACUUUAAGAUCACCUUUGAACAAAAUCUAAGAAUCAUCUAGUUGAUUACUUUGCAAAAUGAAUAAUACAAUUUGUAUGGACUAUCUAAACAUUUACACUUGAAUCACUAUACAUGAUUAGUUCAAACAAAGAACAGGUAGUUCCACGGUAACCGCCAUAAGAAGACUACCGACAAAAUAGUAAAGAAGAAUAAGAAGUGUUUCUCUUUUUCUUCUGCCUUCUUAAGAUGUUUUUCUUACCACCGGGAUGUAAUCUCUUCCGUCUACAGUAAUUUGAAAAGUUUUUCCCCCUCGAGUUCGGUUAAAACUCCUCAUCAUUGAAUUAACCUUUUCCAAUGAAACCACUUCAAAUGUUCCCGGAAGAACUGUUAUUUAAUCAACGUUAUUUCUUCGGCUAAUUACCAUCACACGAUCUCUCACUUGUUAAACGUUUACUUCAGUAGUAGGUUAGAUCUCAGUAAGUGUUCUUGUAACAGUCCGAGUAACCAACAACGGAACUUCAACUACGGGGAUACGACCAGAUGCUCAAAUAGAGAGUUCCAUCGGAGGAACUGUAGGAAGUGUUGUCAUUAUUGUUCCACCGGGAGUUGAACCUAUGUGCAAAUUCAUAACGUCGUGUUAGUCGCCUGCCAGAUCGAAUAUACGUGAGUUUUUGUUUAUCAUGUUAAGAUGUACCACUACAAUUUGGUCGUUUAUAUGAGGACCUACUAUUGAAACAAGGGUUCUAAAGUCUGAAGCCGUAUAGAUUCAACUAAGUCUCUCUGUUCGUUGUGUGACCUGUUCAGUAGCCGCUGUACUUAAUAUACCUAGGUCAUAUAGAUGUUCUUCCGGCUGAGUGACUUUUUUCACUACAGAUAUCAAAGCCUUAACACUAGGAUCUCGAAUAAUCAUCCUCCUCCCGGUAUGUAAGACUCUUAUUAUCGAACCAUUUUCCGAAAGAACUUCGUGUAUUCUUUGUCUUCUUUUGCUGACUCAAAAUACUGUUCCUUUAACGUUAUUGUUUUCUAAACCUCGAAGAACUAUCAGACCGUCUAUAUCAGCACCUUACGGAAUCGGAACUACAUCUGGUUUCUGGUUGCUACUACCUCCAUCGCCUCGUUGACGAGCAUGAUCCGGCCAGAGCAUUUCGCAUCCCACAAAAAGUGGUUCAAUCAAAAAUGUUUUAGGAUGUUUUUCCCCUUCGACUCCGUUAUAAACAUUGUUACAAAAAUUCCACAACUUACAAACAUGCGAGGUAAACGGUGACACAAAGCUUCGUGAUAUUAAACUGGUUUAAAAAUUGGUAUAAUGUGUAUUAUGUAGGAAAACGAACGUGGACAUCACAACAAGCUACUCUAAAAAAAAAACGUG
rnacentral:rRNA from 1 species